rnacentral:rRNA from 1 species
AUUGAACGCUGGCGGCAGGCCUAACACAUGCAAGUCGAGCGAGCGGCGGACGGGUGAGUAAUGUCUGGGAAACUGCCUGAUGGCGGGGGAUCACUACUGGAAACGGUAGCUAAUACCGCAUACCAUCAGAUGUGCCCAGAUGGGAUUAGCUAGUAGGUGGGGUAACGGCUCACCUAGGCGGCGAUCCCUAGGUGGUCUGAGAGGAUGACCAGCGACACUGGAAAUGAGACACGGUCCAGACUCCUACGGGAGGCAGCAGUGGGGAAUAGUGCACAAUAGGGGCAAACCUGAUGCAGCCAUGCCGCGAGGGUGAAGAAGGACUUAGGGUUGUAAAGCACUUUAAGUGGGGAGGCGUUCCCCGCAGAAGAAGCACCGGCUAACUCCGUGCCAGCAGCCGCGGUAAUAC